GAGGAGUAUAAGAUGCAGUCGGAUGUGUAUUUGGAAGACAGCAUGUUUGUGAAGUUGUUGAAGAUGAACAAUAUCCCUUAUCCUUGAGAUGUUUGGGGUAGACGAAUCCCCAUGCUGACUUCUUUCUGCUAUGUGGUGUAUGUAUGUACUGACUACUGAGCUACUGCGGUUUCUUGCACAUUCAAGUUCUAAUAAAAUGGUGGCGGAGAUUUGGUGUUGAGUUUUGUUUUAGACAUUUAUUGGAUUUCUUACAUUUUUUCUUAAAGUGAAACCACUCUAAAGCAUACGUGGUAGGAUAGAUGAGGAAGAAUACGCGAACAUAUGGUUGAAGAUUCAUAUGUAAAUCGUGUGGUCCUAUUAAUUUUUUUUUCAACUUUCCAUGUCAGCGAUAACAUGGUUGAUGUGGCACUCUCUGAUUAUCCACAUAUGUAAAUUAAAUGAGAGAGUUUAAAAAACGUCACGUCACAUUAAUGACAAUGGACGAUAUUAGAUGGAAAUGUAUCGCAUGACAAAUAUGUUCAUUUCUUGAUAAUUUAUGGUUAUUCAUG
rnacentral:lncRNA from 1 species